UACCAUGCAAGUCGAGCGGUAGCACAGAGAGCUUGCUCUCGGGUGACGAGCGGCGGACGGGUGAGUAAUGUCUGGGAAACUGCCUGAUGGAGGGGGAUAACUACUGGAAACGGUAGCUAAUACCGCAUAACGUCGCAAGACCAAAGUGGGGGACCUUCGGGCCUCAUGCCAUCAGAUGUGCCCAGAUGGGAUUAGCUGGUAGGUGGGGUAACGGCUCACCUAGGCGACGAUCCCUAGCUGGUCUGAGAGGAUGACCAGCCACACUGGAACUGAGACACGGUCCAGACUCCUACGGGAGGCAGCAGUGGGGAAUAUUGCACAAUGGGCGCAAGCCUGAUGCAGCCAUGCCGCGUGUGUGAAGAAGGCCUUCGGGUUGUAAAGCACUUUCAGCGGGGAGGAAGGCGUUGAGGUUAAUAA
rnacentral:rRNA from 1 species